AUUGAACGCUGGCGGCAUGCCUUACACAUGCAAGUCGAACGGUAACGGGCCUUCGGGUGCCGACGAGUGGCGAACGGGUGAGUAAUGCAUCGGAACGUACCUUUCAGUGGGGGAUAACGUAGCGAAAGUUACGCUAAUACCGCAUAUUCUGUGAGCAGGAAAAGCAGGGGAUCGCAAGACCUUGCGCCGAUUGAGCGGCCGAUGUCAGAUUAGCUAGUUGGUGAGGUAAAGGCUCACCAAGGCGACGAUCUGUAGCGGGUCUGAGAGGAUGAUCCGCCACACUGGAACUGAGACACGGUCCAGACUCCUACGGGAGGCAGCAGUGGGGAAUUUUGGACAAUGGGGGCAACCCUGAUCCAGCCAUGCCGCGUGAGUGAAGAAGGCCUUC
rnacentral:rRNA from 1 species